GAUGAACGCUGGCGGCGUGCCUAAUACAUGCAAGUCGAGCGAUGAAGAUUGGUGCUUGCACCUAUUUGGAGAGCAGCGAACGGGUGAGUAACACGUAGGUAACCUGCCUUUGAGCGGGGGAUAACAUCUGGAAACGAAUGCUAAUACCGCAUAAUAACUUUAACCAUAAGUUUUAAGAUUGAAAGAUGCAAUUGCAUCACUUUAAGAUGAUCCCGCGUUGUAUUAGCUAGUUGGUUAAGUAAAGGCUCAACAAAGCCAUGAUUAAUAGCCCGCCCGAGAGGGGGGACGGCCCAAAUGGGAAUGAAAACAGGGUCCAACUCCUAAGGGAAGCAGCAGUAGGGGAACUUCGGCCAUGGAGGGAAGUCUGACCGGGCAACGGCGGGGGGGUGGAGGAGGGUCUUCGAUCGUAAAACUUUGUUGAUAGGGAAGAACGUUGGUGAGAGUGAAAAGCUCAUCAAGUGACGGUAACUACUCAGAAAGGGACGGCUAACUACGUG
rnacentral:rRNA from 1 species